UACGUAGGGUGCUAGCGUUGUUCGGAAUCAUUGGGCGUAAAGCGCGUGUAGGUGGUUAGUUAAGUCGGGUGUGAAAUCCCUGGGCUCAACCGAGGAAGUGCAUCCGAAACUAACUAGCUGGAGAAUGGUAGAGGAAGGUGGAAUUCCUAGUGUAGAGGUGAAAUGCGUAGAGAUCGGCAGGAACACCCAGGGGGAAACCAGUCGACUGGGCAUCUACUGACGCUGAGGAGCGAAAGCGUGGGUAGCAAACAGG
rnacentral:rRNA from 1 species